GUUUCUGGGGGAGAUAAACUGCAGUCGUGCGCCUCCAAGCUAUGGUGGAGACGCGGCAUACGGCUCAGUAACACGUGGCCAACCUACCCUCAGGACAGGGACAAACCCGGGAAACUGGGGCUAAUACCCGAUAGGCGAGGGCGCCUGGAAUGGUUCUUCACCCAAAGGGCUUUGGAAGCAUGCUUUUCAAAGUCGCCUGGGGAUGGGGCCGCGUCCGAUCAGGUUGUUGGUGAGGUAACGGCUCACCAAGCCUAUAACCGGUACGGGCCGUGAGAGCGGUAGCCCGGAGAUGGGCACUGAGACAAGGGCCCAGGCCCUACGGGGCGCAGCAGUCGCGAAAACUCCGCAAUGCACGAAAGUGUGACGGGGCUACCCCGAGUGCCGUCCGCUGAGGAUGGCUUUUCCUCGGUGUAACUAGCCGGGGGAAUAAGGAGAGGGCAAGACUGGUGUCAGCCGCCGCGGUAAUACCAGCUCUCCGAGUGGUAGGGAUGAUUAUUGGGCUUAAAGCGUCCGUAGCCGGCUUAGCAAGUCUCCUGUUAAAUUCAGCGACCUAAUCGUUGAGCCGCGGGAGAUACUACUAGGCUAGGAGGCGGGAGAGGCCGACGGUACUUCCGGGGUAGGGGUGAAAUCCUAUAAUCCCGGGCGGACCACCAGUGGCGAAGGCUGUCGGCUAGAACGCGCUCGACGGUGAGGGACGAAAGCUGGGGGAGCGAACCGGAUUAGAUACCCGGGUAGUCCCAGCUGUAAACUAUGCGGGCUAGGUGUUGGGGCGGCCACGAGCCGCUUCAGUGCCGCACGGAAGCAAUUAAGCCCGCCGCCUGGGAAGUACGGCCGCAAGGCUGAAACUUAAAGGAAUUGGCGGGGGAGCACCACAAGGCGUGAAGCUUGCGGUUUAAUUGGAGUCAACGCCGGG
rnacentral:rRNA from 1 species